rnacentral:rRNA from 1 species
CAGCAGCCGCGGUAAUACGGAGGGUGCAAGCGUUAAUCGGAAUUACUGGGCGUAAAGCGCACGCAGGCGGUUUGUUAAGUCAGAUGUGAAAUCCCCGAGCUUAACUUGGGAACUGCAUUUGAAACUGGCAAGCUAGAGUCUUGUAGAGGGGGGUAGAAUUCCAGGUGUAGCGGUGAAAUGCGUAGAGAUCUGGAGGAAUACCGGUGGCGAAGGCGGCCCCCUGGACAAAGACUGACGCUCAGGUGCGAAAGCGUGGGGAGCAAACAGG